AAGAGAUCAUGCCCUCACGGGUAGACCUCCCACCCUUUGUAUAUCAUACUUUGUUGCUUUGGCGAGCCUGUUCGGCUUCGGCAGGACUACCGGCCUCGGCUGGUCCGCGCUCGCCAGAGGACCCAAAACUCUGAAUUAUAAUGCCGUCUGAGUACUAUAUAAUAGUUA
rnacentral:misc_RNA from 1 species